AUGUCCAUAAACUUUCUGAGUGAUUAUGGAACAACUUGGGUUUUUCCAACAUAAAAUCCCCACAUGAUUUGAUGAUUUCUCAUAGCUUAGAUUGUUUAUAUUAUUGUACUAAUCUUAGUUCAUGACCUUCCUUGUUUGUUCUUACAACAAGUGUAGUGGUGAACGCAUACGAGGUGCCUAAAUGGAAGCUUGUACUUCCUACCUCCUACAUGAUUUCUAUGACACAUUUUGAGGUACCUAAAUGAAGAUGUAAUCUUCUAUCUCAUGCUUGAAAUACUUGAACAUUUGGACUUAAUAAUAUAAACUAUACAACCUAAAUAAUAUCUAUGUACAUUCGAACCUUUGAUGUUGAAUUCAUGUUCACUUGUCAAAGUAGUAGGACAUCAUCUAAGACCUAAACCUUGUUAUGAUUCUUAUGAGUGUUCAACUCAUGAAAACAUUAUUAUAACCCUUGUGGUUACCAAGUGUCAUACAAGUGUUAUGUGUUGAAGAUGAUUAUUUUCACAUGUUAUUCUCAUAUGUUAUUUUCAUAUUAUUUUAUUCCGAAUCUCGACUCUAAACAUACUUGACCUUUAACCCUUACACAUUUAACCUCCUAACCUCAUCAAUUUCGUCAUGUUGGAUAAUCGGAAGAAAUUGCAAUAAUGUUGAUGAUGACGAUGCUAUGAAAAGAAGUAGCGUUGAUGCCUACAUACACAUAUAGACGUUUAGGUUUAAUAUGUUGUAUCAAUUUUGAUUAUGUUGUUACGUUUUUCCUUUGAACAUGUUGUUAUUUGAAUUUCCGUGUACGUUUGACAAUUUAUCUAUGAAAUGAAAUCGGUU
rnacentral:lncRNA from 1 species